rnacentral:rRNA from 1 species
GACGAACGCUGGCGGCGUGCUUAACACAUGCAAGUCGAACGGAAAGGCCCUGCUUUUGUGGGGUGCUCGAGUGGCGAACGGGUGAGUAACACGUGAGUAACCUGCCCUUGACUUUGGUAUAACUUCAGGAAACUGGGGCUAAUACAGGAUAGGAGCUCCUGCUGCAUGGUGGGGGUUGGUAAGUUUCGGCGGUUGGGGAUGGACGCGCGGCUUGUCAGCUUGUUGGUGGGGUAGUGGCUUACGAAGGCUUUGACGGGUAGCCGGCCUGAGAGGGUGACCGGCAACAUUGGGACUGCGAUGCGGCCCAGACUCCGACGGGAGGGAGCAGUGGGGGAUAUUGCACAAUGGGCGGAAGCCGGAUGCAGCAACGCCGCUUGCGGGAUGACGGCCUUCGGGUUGUAAACCGCGUUCGCCUGUGACGAAGCGUGAGUGACGGUAAUGGGUAAAGAAGCACCGGCUAACUACGUG